AUGAACGCUGGCGGCGUGCCUAAUACAUGCAAGUCGAGCGAACAGAUGAGGAGCUUGCUCCUCUGACGUUAGCGGCGGACGGGUGAGUAACACGUGGAUAACCUACCUAUAAGACUGGGAUAACUUCGGGAAACCGGAGCUAAUACCGGAUAAUAUAUUGAACCGCAUGGUUCAAUAGUGAAAGACGGUUUUGCUGUCACUUAUAGAUGGAUCCGCGCCGCAUUAGCUAGUUGGUAAGGUAACGGCUUACCAAGGCAACGAUGCGUAGCCGACCUGAGAGGGUGAUCGGCCACACUGGAACUGAGACACGGUCCAGACUCCUACGGGAGGCAGCAGUAGGGAAUCUUCCGCAAUGGGCGAAAGCCUGACGGAGCAACGCCGCGUGAGUGAUGAAGGUCUUCGGAUCGUAAAACUCUGUUAUUAGGGAAGAACAAAUGUGUAAGUAACGAUGCACGUCUUGACGGUACCUAAUCAGAAAGCCACGGCUAACUACGU
rnacentral:rRNA from 1 species